GAAGCCCUGCCGUCCGUGUUCGAUGGCAUCAACUUUGGAGCAUCAGACUACAUGUACUCUGCUUAUUCCAUGGUAUUGUGAAAUCCUUUCACUCCUAAGAUGACAAGCUGAUGCAUCAAUUUUAGCUGGUUGCCGGACGAGCAGGUGGUGGCUGCAUAAUAUGCGCUGCUCAUUUCCCAUCUAUAUUGUUAUGAUGCUGUUUAUACUGUUCUAUGUAUAUCGAGCAGGUUAAAAAAAAAGGAGAAGCCAGACUUUUAUUUCGUGAUGUUGGUGCUUUGUUCAAAAGGAAGAUAUGAUAUCUAGGUCUUGGUUGAAUGAUUCAAUUUAUAGAGGCUAUUACACAAGUUCUGGUUUCAGAUGAUUUUGCUGGAUCAGGUACAAAUAGAAGAAGUGGUUCAAGGUAAAUCGAAACUCAAAAUAUACGAUGUUGCUGCUGGAUCUGUAUAUUCUUUUUUUGUUUUCUCCUAUAUAAGUAGUAGUACAUGAAGUGGUAUUUAGCAUUAUAGGAUAACCAUCUUUACAGAUGGUGGAUUUAAAAUUAUGUGACUUCGUCAUAUUAAUCUCAACACCUACUACUCCACUGAGGAGCAUGAUCUAAAGGUGUUUUGUGUUUCUAUUCGGCCUUGCUAUGUUUAAUCACUUGAACUAAAACACACACAUGUACAAGCCAGGUAAGGACAUGAAAACUAAGCUAAUAUAAACAUUAGUGUCAUGGUUUAUUCAAAAAUUGAAAAUUAUAGCCAAUGUUUGUGCAGGUGUCCAUAUCAACAAUCAAUGUUCUGGGUAUAUAUUAUAUGCUUAAGCAUUGCCCACAGCCACAUGAAAUAUUUCAAAAAAAAAACUAGAGGCUUAGUUGUAUAGCGUAUUGGUGUGUUAAAUUUGGAGCGCUACUUCUCCAUUUACCUAUGCUCUAGGACAAUCUACAACAGGCUAUUCUGAGGUGCAUAGAUUGGAGCGGGAAGUCCUCAUGCAGGCAUCGAUCCAACAAGACUCCAUUUACUGAAUUGCUUCUUCAGACUGCCCUCUACCUGUAAUAAAAUGACCACACAUAUAACCUAUAUGCAUGUAUACAGAAUCAGAAAUGUCCAGGUAAAGAUCAUUCUAGGGCAAAUAAAAUCAAUUAGCAGACCUUUAAUAUUUCAAUUGCAAGAACCAAUGAAGUCGCUAUAAAUUCUCUAUUGUGCAAGCAACAAAAUGGGUUAAUUAAGGACGUCCAGGUAGUAGUUUGCUCGAUUAUUCCGUUUGUGGAAGAAAUUGAAGCUCAUGAGGUUCAAAAAACUUGUUCUAACAAAUUGUUAAAUGGGCAAUGCCUGUAACUUCCCUUUGACUCUAGAAAUUUGUGACAACUAAACUUUAGUAGAUAGUGAGCUGGAGCUGCUCCUGAAAGGUAUUCAGUAAGGAUCUCUGUCCUGCUUUGAAACUUUGGUUUGUCAAGUUAUCAAGUCAGGCUCCUAUGCUAGCAUGGACCUAUUGAAAAGCUGUUAUGGCUAUCUACAUGCCUGGAACAUCUCGGCUUUGGCAUUCUUUUUUAUGUAUGCUCAGUCACAUGCUUUUUUAGAUGAAUGGCUCUAUAUAUCAAAUUAUGUCUACGAGUUUCAGCACUAUGUUACCUCAGUAUAGAACUAUAUUACUUCUUAAAAAUGUUGGUCUGAUUUUGUUCGGUGUGGUCUGCCAUAUGAUUAUAUUUUUUACUUCUCCGGGUCUUGGUUGAACGAUAUAAUUUAUAGAGGUCAUUACACAAGUUCUGGUUUCAGAUGGUUUUGCUGGAUCAGAUACAAAUAUAAGUGGUUCAAGGUAAAUCGAAACUCAAAAUAUACGUUGUUGCUGCCCAAUCUGUAUAUUCUUUAUUUGUUUUGUCCUAUAUAAAUAGUAGUACAUGAAGCGGUAUUUAGCAUUAUAGGAUAACCAUCUGUAUGGAUGGGGGAAUUUAAAAUUAUGUGACUUCGUCAUAUUAAUCUCAACACCUACUCCUCCAUUGAGGAGCCGCACAGGUUUGUAGCGUUCAUCGAGAUGCAGACUGUAAUGUUUUAUAAUGGAUUUUUAGUUCACCCCCAUGUUAUUAUGAUACUAUGGUAGAAAUUAACGGAUAGACUGAAAACAUGAAACAGAUACAAGAGCUCCUAUUGGAGCAUCUUCUGAUUUUGACGAGGUAACUCACUUGCCAUUGAUCUAAAAAAAAACUCACUUGCCAUUUAGGGUUUAUAAUCUUAAGGUUGAUACUUUCUUCUCCUCUGAUGCACUUUAUACCGACUGCAAUGUAAUUUUGACAGGAUGAGCUGGAAGCAUAGCUGGAAGAAACUGGAGGGAGCACAAUUGGAAAAUCAACUACUGGAGCAUAUACCUUACCAUCAGGUGCAGGUACAACAGGGAGAGGGAGAGGGGGAGUUAUUUUUCCUUUCACGUGGGAUUCCAGUUCGAUUAUGUUUAUGAUUGGACUGUUCUUAAAUAUCAGCAGUCACAGAUGAUCAGUGCAUCCAGAAGUUCAAUUUGUGUUUGUCUGUGGUGAUAAAUGUCUGGUAGAUGUUCCUGUUCUGGUGUUUUACACCGCUGCAGUAGGACAUCUUGGAGACGUGUGAUGUGUCUCCAAUUACAAGUUGUCUGGUAGAUGUUCAUAUUCUGGUGUCGAGAAUGAAUGCAAGGAUACCAUGCAAUAUUUCCAUGUGCGCCUAUGAUCGAUUUCUAUAGUUGUUCAAUACAGCCUUUUAAAAAGUGCUUAUAAUUUUGGAAUGUGCCGAGGGGUAUGUAUAAACUGCUAUCUGAUACUGAAGUGGUCCACUUUAUAUUGAUUGUUUCCUCAUUACGCC